rnacentral:rRNA from 1 species
UAGGGAAUCUUGCGCAAUGGGCGAAAGCCUGACGCAGCCAUGCCGCGUGAAUGACGAAGGUCUUAGGAUUGUAAAAUUCUUUCACCGGGGACGAUAAUGACGGUACCCGGAGAAGAAGCCCCGGCUAACUUCGUGCCAGCAGCCGCGGUAAUACGAAGGGGGCUAGCGUUGCUCGGAAUUACUGGGCGUAAAGGGCGCGUAGGCGGACAGUUUAGUCAGAGGUGAAAAGCCCAGGGCUCAACCUUGGAAUUGCCUUUGAUACUGGCUGUCUUGAGUGCGGGAGAGGUGUGUGGAACUCCGAGUGUAGAGGUGAAAUUCGUAGAUAUUCGGAAGAACACCAGUGGCGAAGGCGAACACACUGGCCUGUUACUGACGCUGAGGCGCGAAAAGCGUGGGGAGCAAAACAGGAUUAGAUACCCUGGUAGUCCCACGCCGUAAAACGAUGAUGCUAAGUUGUCGGCAUGCAUGCAUGUCGGUGACGCAGCUAACGCAUUAAGCAUU